CUUUAAUGAGAUGCUGAGGUAAGGAAGGUAGAUUAUGUUGAUGGAGGGCUUAGCAUAUUGCCUUCAGGGUUGUGUUGAAGUCGUGGGCCAGCAAUGCUUGUACGUGGGUUUUAUUUUACAUCGGCAAAUCAAGCAUCUUCUUUGUUAUCUAGAUUCCAGAGUAAUGCGAGUAGUCAUCACGUUUGCCAGGAAUGUUACUAGUGAGGAAUGAACCCUCUGAAAAAGAUAAAAAUAUCGCAGGAAGGAGGAGGCGGUCCUGGCAACAAGCAUCCGGAGCCCCCUGCUGGCAAAGACUAGCAAAGGCCAGUACCAACGGUGCGGGGAAAACGCUGUCACAAAUAAAUAGAGCCAGUCGCAACAGGAGGGUGGAAGUUGCGUUUAUCUUGAUGAUUGGCGGGAGGAAAAGCUGAGAGUCCCCACGGGUGGAGGUUCUGGCUUGCGCCAAAGACAGCUGUGAAAGCUGGGAUGCAUGAAGGCUGCAGGUGACUGAAACAGGAAGCAAAGAAUGAACGUUGGAGUUAAGCCAGCGGCCACAUCACGAACCAAUGAGGCACACGUGUCAGACGACCCCUGUGAAAGAGGCGAUCGACUUCCAGAGGGGUCACGGCCCCUACGUUGAGAACAGGUGCUGGCAGAAGAUACCCGCAUCCGUCAGUGUGGGAACAGCAAAGAAACUCCACAGGAUAAGCUUUACCAACUCUCGCUCCAUGACUGGGAGGAACUUUCCAAAUGUUUCAAAAGUUUGAAUUAAAGAUAUUCAAACGUG